GAUCCGGAUCCGUGGGAAUGCAGAGGAAUGCGUGGCAGCAAGGAAUCUCACAGGGAUUCACAGUUCACCCCUAAAUCAAUCCGUGGGGCCCGAGGGGCAAAGUGUCUGAGUGACUCAGCCCUCAGUCUUGUGUCUGUUCCUGAGAAGGAGGGGCCAUGGACGGAGGCAUGACACAGACUGUCCACCGCAGAGACCACGGACGGAGGCAUGACACAGGCUGCCUGCUGCAGAGACCAGUCCUUCCAGAACCUGGCUGCCCUUCUUCUUGGUGAUAGUCCCAUUUUAAAGGGCCUGGUUCAGGAGUGGAUGUGCCACUCACUCCUGCUCUCCCUGAGGUCUGCACUUGCUGCUAAACAGUGGUCAGGAAACUUGCAACAGGCCCUGGUUAGAUUCAAGAUUCUUCCGAGGCAUUCAACACAGGUCACCUGAAUUCACUUUCAGACCUGUUCGCAGUCCUUUGUA